rnacentral:pre_miRNA from 1 species
CGUGCACUGGUGGGGUCCCUCAGCCUGGCCUGCACCCUCUCGCAAUCCGGGACCCCUCGGGGCAUGUCAGAAGGCCAGUUUCAGCCUGAUCCUGCAGGCCAGGCCGAGGGACCCCACUAGUGCACG